rnacentral:rRNA from 1 species
CUACGGGCUGCUGCAGUUAGGAAUAAUCUACAAUGCACGAAAGUGUGAUAGUUUGAGCCAGAGUGCGUUUCAAUUGAAACGCUUUUGCCAAAUCUAAAAAGUUUGGCGAAUAAGGACUGGGUAAGACGAGUGCCAGCCGCCGCGGUAAUACUCGCGGUCCAAGUCGCAGCCACAUUUAUUGGGUCUAAAACACCCGUAGCUUGUUUGGCAAGUUUCUUGUGAAAUCCUAUUUCUUAAGAAUUGGUCGUGCAAGAAGUACUACCGAACUAGAGACCGGAAGACGUAAGAAGUACGUUCGAAGUAAUGGUAAAAUAUGUUAAUCUCGGACGGACUCACAACAGCGAAGGCAUCUUACGAGGACGGUUCUGACAGUCAGGGAUGAAGGCUAGGGGCGCAAAACGGAUUAGAUACCCUUGUAGUC